rnacentral:rRNA from 1 species
CCUACGGGACGCAGCAGUGGGGAAUAUUGCACAAUGGGGGGAACCCUGAUGCAGCGACGCCGCGUGAGUGAAGAAGUAUUUCGGUACGUAAAGCUCUAUCAGCAGGGAAGAAAAAAAGUCCUUUGGACUUUGGACGGUACCUGACCAAGAAGCCCCGGCUAACUACGUGCCAGCAGCCGCGGUAAUACGUAGGGGGCAAGCGUUAUCCGGAUUUACUGGGUGUAAAGGGAGCGUAGACGGCAGGGCAAGUCUGGAGUGAAAGGCAGGGGCCCAACCCCUGGACUGCUCUGGAAACUGUCCGGCUG